ensembl:lncRNA
CGACCCUUUGGGGAAACACGUGCAUGUUCUCAGCUGGAAAUGAGCCCUAACAACAAGAUGGGCCUGCUCUGUCUCUGAAACCUUGCCAUAUUUUGAUCAUCUGUACGAGGAAUAGGGACCAUGGAGACACCAGGACCACGUGGCUUUGAUGGUGCUGGACCUAGAACAAAAAUAGAAUGGAAGAACAGUCCCAGUGGAGAGAAGUAAAUGAGAGAGGCAGAGGGGUGAAGAGAAGAAAGGAGUAAAGGAAGAAUCACAUCGGGUGACUGAUCCUCCAAGGGGCGAGCUGGAGAAAUGUGCUCCUCAGUGACCUCUGGCAGGAGGAUAUCUUCAGUUCUGCAGAAGUAAUUCCAGAGCACGAGACCACCAGAACGAACAGGUCCUGCGAUGUGAUCCAUCCAGAAUACAUAACACUCCCUGUGUCCAAGAGGAAAGUGCAACCAAAAACCACCCGGAGACAUAAAUAUCGUGGCUGCAGCUCAUUUAACUAGCAAGUGCACUAUCAAUGUCACUUCUGAGCUGGUGGCUUCCAGCUAGAGCUCCCUGAACACUGCGGUUCCUAUUCUUUCCAACACGGAGAAAUUCCAGGAAGAACUCGGCAAUUUCUGAAGCAGGACCCUGGCAUUCUGGAAUUUCUCAUCUAAUGAAG